GCAUCAUCUGGAUCUUGUGAAGGUCAUGGGAAGAUCAAAAUUUUACAGUUGAAGUAGUGAAGUUACCCAAAAUAUCAAAAGAAAGAAGUUCAUGCAAGUUUGCAAUGACAUGUGGUAUAUUUACAGGGAGCCGAUCCAACGUGAAAAAUACAGAAGGGAACCAAAAGUCCGGCAGGAACAAAACAAACAAUGAGCUCAAUGAGAGAGAGAGAGAGAAAAGCACAGGUGACGCAGACAGUGGAGGAAGACUUUCCAUAGGCUUAAGGACAGGAAGAAAUCUCAACAACAACUCAUCACCCCUCAACACAGCCCCCAGCUAUCACUAGAGCAAGAUGUAGAUCCACAGUCAAGCAUUAGUUUAUGAAGUGGGUCAAUUGGCAAAGAAAAUGUGCUAUGAAGGCAAUAUAAUGCCUAAUGUAACAGAACAUUGUCUCUAUUGCAAUGUGUAAUUAAAAAAAUAAUAAAACUCUAUUAGCAAAUUCAAGAAAUACAAAUUUUGCAAAAUAAAAAAAACCCAAAAAAGUACAAGAAAAAACUCCAGCGCUUUAGAAAGAAUAAUCCGUCUCCACGCACAAAGGUAAACAGACGGAUGAGACAAUUACCACGUGUGCCUUUAAGAAGACCCUUCUCAUUCAUGAAGAUCUGGUGGGGGACAUCUGAAAUAUACAAAUACAAAAACGCCCAUGGGAAGAAAGAAAAGCAAAUAAUUUCAAAAAUAAUAUCAGGAACAGAUCUGAAAAAAAAAAAUACAGGUUGCAUGACUUUGCUCUAAAUUUACUAGAAUUUUCAAAGAAAAGAUGGAAGAAUGAGAAGAAUAUGAAGGUGAACUACAACGACCAACUGCAGGGUUGCAGAUUGUGUGAGAGUAAAAACUACUCAAGGGAUGAUGUGAGUGGCGUCACAACUCAGAAGAGGCAAACCCUCACCCUCAGAAGAAAAUCAAAAAACAAAAACGAUUUAUUUUGGAUACCAUGAAAAACUUUCACAGGAAGUUUUUGGCAGAAGAACAAUGUUCACUUACUCUCUCUUCUGUAUGCUACGAACUUUUUGGGGUGUUCAUCCGACAGAAUCUGGGAUUUUUGUGCAGAAGCUGCACCACUUGAAGGUAAAAAGCACUCUCAAUCUGAAAGACGUUAUAUAAGAGAUUACAUGUGGCACAGAAAA